CAUGCGCAGUCAUUGAGAGUGAGGUUAAGCGGAGCACAGAAGUGCGGCGGCUUCUGGGUGGCCAGCUGUGUGCUGUCAAUACGGACCUGCUUCUAGUCACUUCAUGGACUGCAGCCCCUGACUGAGGGGGAGAGACGUUCGUACAGACUGGUGUGUUCUGCUGAUGAGAGGUAGAGGUCAUGAGAAGGACUGCGGAAUAAAACGUUGCUGUUAACCAGGAAGCCAUCAUUUUGUUCUACAGCAGACCAUGUCGGGGGCCACCUCCAUGCAGACAUUGGUAACAUUUAAUGACGUAGCUAUUUAUUUUUCUGCAGAAGAUUGGAUGUGCUUAGAAGAAUGGCAGAAGGAGCUGUAUAGAAAUGUCAUGCAAGAAAUUCAUGGUGUCUUGGCUGCCAUGGGGUACACUAUUAGCAACCCUGAUGUGUUGGUAAGAAUUCAGAAUCUAGAACCAAGCAGGCCUGGGAGCAGCCAUGAGUCAGUCAAUCAGAAGAGCAGCUGUAAUCUCCAAAGUGGUUUUCCUUCAAGUAACCCGGAUAUUCUUCUACGAGUGAAACAACAUGGCAGCACCUUGCUAGAUGAUCCUGUGCAGCUUAACAAAGAAACACAAUUAGAUCCAUCUGAUGGGGGAAAUUUACAACCUGACAGUGGGUCAACGACAAGUGAAGAUGAUAAUCAACUUAAUGAUCUGAACACAUUUCAGGACAGUGUCAGCAUUUCCAGAGCAGCUGAAGACCCUUCCGAAAAACAGAUUAUGAAUGACAUACAGAACUCUAAAGCCAAGAAUAAUGUCCAAUGGAAAGACUUGUUUGACAAAAUGGAACCCAGAGUGCCACCGAUGGAACAAGGCAAUGAAAACAUAAGAGGUGUAGAGCUGAGUCAUAAACUCCUCAGUGCUGAGAAAAAGUCCAACCCAAAAGAGCGCCUGUACAUAUGCUCUGUCUGUGGGAAAAGUUUUGGUGGCAGUUCUUUACUGGUUAGGCAUAUGAGAAUUCACACUGGUGAGAAACCCUACGCCUGUAACCACUGUGAUAAAUGCUUUAACGACAAGUCCUAUCUCCUGCGGCACUUGAGGACUCAUACCGGAGAGAAACCAUACUCUUGUUCUGUAUGUCUUAAAAGUUUUAGUCAGAAUUCCAGUGUCAUCGCCCACAUGAGGAUUCAUACCGGAGAAAGACCGUUUCAGUGUACAGAAUGUGAUAAGCGGUUCAGUGAUAAGUCAUACUAUUUGCGGCACAUGCGCUCUCACACAGGAGAGAGGCCGUACAAAUGUACCAAGUGUGAAAAGUGCUUCACUCAGACUUCUACUCUAGCUUCCCAUAUGAGGAUCCACACUGGAGAAAAGCCAUUCAGAUGUUGCUAUUGUGAUAAAUGCUUUAGUCAGAGCUCGAGCCUCGUCAUACAUAAGAAACUACACCAGCAGGAGGAAGCCCGGUGAAGGGUGUUACCAAGACACAUAAUUUUGAAGGACCUUGAUUGAAAUUGUAACCUUUGCUGCUGCCAGUACUUUGAAAUAUGGGGUUCUCGCCCAUAUUCAUUGGGGGACACAGGAACCGUGGGAAACAGCGGACGCCUCGCCUCCUUGUUCUCCCGGGGGGAGCACGCCAGCGUUGGUCCGCCACGCUGCCUCCUCCCCCCACAAGAAAACAAGGUGGACCAGGGCAGCCUCGCUCCCUGCAUCCCGCCAGCCAAGGGGUCACCCGUCCAAGCCCCUCUUCCAGCUUCCUGCCACCACAGUGCCAGUAGCUGAAGGGGUGACAAAGCUGGGCCAGAGGAAGGGUGAAGACGUCGUGCCCCCCCCCCAUCCCCCCGCUAGCCCGCAACAGAGCUGGGCAGAUGGUUCCCUUUGAGGGACAUAGCAAGGGGGCAGAGGUUGUUUUAUUCACUAAAGAUAGUGACUUCAAGCCUUCCCCUGUUCUCUACCAGGUGGCAGUGAAGGAGACAUUGCUGACCGGAGGGGUGUUUUUCUACAGUACUCUGCGCUGCUGAGAAAUCAUCUAGGGGAGAAGAUCGCGCUGCAGGGGGGCGGGGCCAGAGCGGAGUCAGCGGUGCAGCGAUAUCGCCAGCGCUUCUUUAAGGCGGCAAGAGCAGCAAACAGGCCGAUAUAUCUGGGCCCCUAUCAUGCGGCCAUGGCACUGUGGGGGUUAAUUAGUGGCGCGGGCACGUGUGCACCGCCGCGUGGAGAGCGGGAGAUACGGGACCUGAGGGGGCGGGGCUUGCUCUUCCCGCCACAGCUUCAGGAAGUACUCGCUGUGGGACUCCCUCCUCUGUUCAGCAUCUGCUCCUGGCUAUGGUAGGACGUGUGCUCCUCUCCUCAGGUCACUGUACUCUCUCCAGCCACAUUCCAACCCCCCUAGGUCACUGACAAUGUCCGAUGCAUCUGGGGCUCUGCCUCGGCUGCCAAUAACCAUUCACUAUGCCUGCUCUAUAUGUCAGACAAAAUUUCCCUGCGGGCAACCGGAUUCUGUCUGCUCUGCUUGUCAGAUGCCUAGGCAGGUGCCCCCCCUUCAGCCCGUCAUGCUGCCUCCCCCUCCACCCGCUGAAUUACCUGAUUGGGCCAGAACUCUCAGGCGGUGGAAAACCUUGCUAAAAUCUCCCAAUCCACCCUAUCUAUAGUGGGUCGCUUAGUUGAGAAUCCGCCACCUCCGCAGGCUGCACCUCCCUCAGAUGCACCCUCCAGAGCCUCUUGCUCGGGCGACCCCCCCCCUAGGUCACUGCCCUCCGGUGAUUCAGUCGGUGCACAGCAUUCACACAAAUUCAUGUUUAAUGUUGAGUGGAUCAUGUUUCUUCCUCUGACACGUCUCCCUCCCCCCACUGACCAACAGGGGGUAUCCUUCUUCCGUCCCAAACAGGCCUCAAGAGUGUUUCCUCGCCAUAAGGAUUCCUCUUCCAGGACGUCUGGCGGGCCCACGUGUCCGGCGCUUGGGAGCUCAAGAUUGUGUCCUCGGGAUACCUGAUCGAGUUAAUGUCUCUUCCCCCGGACUGGUUUUUUCAAUCCCGUCUUCCACGGGACCCAGAGCGCACGGCCACCUUCUCAAAAGCCAUUCAGUCCCUCCUGGACCGGGGA